AGUGGAUACUAGGGGUAGGGUUUUAUUCUGUGCCACCCCAAAACCCUAUUUCUAUUUCACAUUACUGUCACACUCUUUUUUUUUUUUUUUUUUUAAUUGGUCUUCUUCGCCGCCGUUCAGAAAAGUGGUUCGGUGAUUUCCCAGAAGCAAAAAGCAGCGUUGAGGGAGGCGUCUCACCAAGCACCAGAGCUUUCAAACACUUGAUCGAGGACAUGGCAGCUGCCAGGGAAUUUGGGGUGUCCGAAUUCCUACAGGGCACCUGCAGGCAGAGUUUGUUUUUGGUGAAGAAGCCUCUGAGUCAGAGAAGUCAUUUACUUUGGGGUACGCUUUGGAAUAGGAAUCGGGUUCUUGGUUCAACUCGAAAAGCUUUGCGUUUAAGGUGUCAAGCUCAAGAAAAUCCUAAAGCUGUGGUUUCUGGGGGUGUGAGCAGUUCAAUAGAAGAGCAAGCAGGUUUGGUUGAGAAACCUGCCUUGGAAGUUUUUCAUUUGUACCGGAUCCCUUUUAUUCAAGAAAGUAAAGCUGCUGAGAUUCUAAAGGAAGCUCAAGCAAAAAUCUCUAAUGAGAUCGUGGACCUACAAACAGAGCAAUGUUAUAAUAUUGGCCUUGGUUCACAACUGUCAAGUAGAAAACUUUCUGUCCUUAAAUGGCUUCUUCAAGAAACAUUUGAGCCUGAGAAUCUGGGUCCUGAGAGCUUUCUUGACAAGAAGAGGAAGGAGGGUUUGAUGACAUUUAUUAUAGAGGUUGGCCCUAGAUUGUCAUUUACCACAGCUUGGUCUGCUAAUGCUGUGGCGAUUUGCCAAGCUUGUGGUUUGACAGAAGUGAACCGUUUAGAGCGAUCAAGGAGGUACUUGUUGUAUACCACAUCUGAAUUACAAGAUUAUCAAAUCAAUGAAUUUGCAUCUAUGGUACAUGAUAGGAUGACUGAAUGUGUUUAUACUCAGAAGCUAACAUCAUUUGAGACCAGUGUAGUUCCAGAGGAAAUUCGAUAUAUACCUGUCAUGGAGAGGGGACAAAAAGCAUUAGAGGAGAUAAAUCUGGAGAUGGGUUUUGCCUUUGAUGACCAGGAUCUAGAAUACUACACCAAACUUUUCAGAGAAGAUAUUAAACGAAAUCCAACAAUUGUGGAAUUGUUUGAUAUUGCGCAGUCCAACAGUGAGCAUAGCAGGCAUUGGUUUUUUACUGGAAAGAUUUUCAUUGAUGGACAGCUUAUGAAUAGGACUCUUAUGCAAAUUGUGAAAAGUACUUUACAGGCAAAUCCGAAUAACUCAGUUAUUGGCUUUAAGGAUAACUCAAGUGCAAUAAGGGGUUUCCAAGUAAAGCAGUUGCGACCACUUCAGCCUGGUUCAGCAUGUCCGUUAAACAUGGCAACACGUGAGUUAGAUAUUUUAUUUACAGCUGAAACACAUAAUUUUCCAUGUGCAGUGGCACCUUAUCCUGGGGCAGAGACAGGUGCAGGAGGUCGAAUUAGGGAUACACAUGCAACAGGAAGGGGUUCCUUUGUCCAAGCAGCCACAGCUGGUUAUUGUGUUGGAAAUCUCAACACGUCAGGGUUUUAUGCUCCAUGGGAAGAUCCAUCCUUUACUUAUCCAUCGAAUUUGGCAUCACCUUUGCAAAUUCUUAUAGAUUCUAGUAAUGGUGCAUCAGACUAUGGGAACAAAUUUGGAGAGCCAUUGAUCCAGGGCUUCUGUAGAAAUUUUGGAAUGAGACUUCCUAGUGGGGAUAGGCGGGAAUGGUUGAAGCCAAUCAUGUUUAGUGCAGGCAUUGGGCAGAUUGACCACCUUCAUAUAUCAAAGGGAGAGCCUGACAUUGGAAUGUUGGUUGUUAAGAUUGGAGGUCCUGCUUAUCGUAUUGGGAUGGGAGGUGGGGCGGCCUCAAGCAUGGUUAGUGGCCAGAAUGAUGCAGAACUUGAUUUCAAUGCUGUGCAACGUGGGGAUGCUGAGAUGGCACAAAAACUAUAUCGUCUUGUUCGUGCUUGUAUUGAGAUGGGGGAUAAAAAUCCAAUUAUCAGCAUUCAUGAUCAAGGUGCUGGUGGGAACUGCAAUGUUGUAAAGGAGAUUAUAUAUCCAAAGGGUGCUGAGAUAGAUGUCCGAGCUAUUGUGGUUGGUGAUCAUACAAUGUCUGUUCUAGAAAUUUGGGGAGCAGAGUAUCAGGAGCAAGAUGCAAUCUUGGUGAAGCCUGAAAGUCAUGCGCUUUUACAAUCAAUCUGUAAUAGGGAAAAGGUUUCAAUGGCUGUGAUCGGAACUAUUAGUGGUGAUGGACGUGUUGUGUUAGUUGAUAGCUUAGCCACUCAGAAAUGUAUCUCAAAUGGACUCCCUCCACCACUCCCUGCUGUGGAUCUUGAACUGGAGAAAGUCCUAGGUGACAUGCCUCAAAAAUCUUUUAAAUUUAAUAGGGUUGUCUAUAAGCGAGAGCCACUUGAUAUUGCCCCAGGGAUCACUAUAAUAGAUUCUCUGAAAAGGGUAUUGAGCUUACCAUCUGUCUGUUCAAAACGCUUCUUAACAACAAAAGUUGAUAGGUGUGUUACUGGUCUAGUGGCACAACAGCAAACCGUUGGCCCUUUGCAGGUUCCCCUUGCUGAUGUUGCUGUUAUAGCUCAGACUUUUACCGAUGUUACUGGAGGUGCAUGUGCUAUUGGGGAACAACCAAUCAAAGGUCUGUUAGACCCCAAAGCAAUGGCUCGGUUGGCUGUUGGAGAAGCACUCACAAAUCUUGUAUGGGCGAAGGUCACUUCCCUUUCUGAUGUCAAGGCAAGUGGUAAUUGGAUGUAUGCUGCCAAGCUUGAUGGCGAAGGAGCUGCCAUGUAUGAUGCUGCCAUAUCUAUGUCCGAAGCAAUGAUUGAUCUUGGUAUUGCUAUUGAUGGAGGGAAAGAUAGCCUUUCUAUGGCAGCCCAUGCUGGAGGAGAAGUUGUCAAGGCUCCUGGAAAUCUUGUAAUAAGUGCUUAUGUUACUUGUCCUGAUAUAACAAAAACAGUGACACCGGAUUUGAAACUUGAAGAUGAUGGUGUUUUGCUUCAUAUUGAUUUGUCCAAGGGAAAGCAGCGAUUAGGUGGGUCUGCUCUUGCCCAGGCAUUUGACCAAGUUGGGGAUGAGUGUCCUGAUCUUGAUGAUAUUCCUUACCUUAAAAAGGUCUUUGAAGGUGUUCAAGACCUUCUUACUCAUGAGCUGAUUUCUGCUGGUCAUGACAUUAGUGAUGGUGGUCUAUUAGUUUGUGCCUUAGAGAUGGCAUUUGCGGGUAAUCGUGGAUUUACUUUGGACUUGACUUCGCAUGGUAUGAGUCUUUUCCACACACUGUAUGCAGAAGAGCUUGGGUUAGUUCUUGAGGUAAACAAGAAAAAUCUAGCUUUUGUAAUGGAUAGAUUGAAUGGUGUGGGAGUUUCAGCUAAGAUCAUAGGUCAAGUAAAUGUCACUCCAGUUAUAGAAGUUAAGGUUGAUGGGGUGCCUUGUUUAAAAGAAAAAACUACUAUCCUUAGGGAUAUGUGGGAAGAAACUAGUUUUCAGCUGGAAAAGUUCCAAAGAUUGGCAUCUUGUGUGGAUAUGGAGAGAGAAGGACUAAAACAUCGGUAUGAGCCCUCCUGGAGACUAUCCUUUACUCCUUCCUUCACUGAUGAAAAGUAUAUGUCUGCAACUUUAAAACCUAAAGUGGCCGUGAUUAGAGAAGAAGGGAGCAAUGGAGACAGAGAAAUGGCUGCAGCAUUUCAUGCUGCUGGUUUUGAACCAUGGGAUGUUACUAUGUCAGACCUUCUUAAUGGAGUGAUUUCUUUGCAAGAGUUUCGUGGAAUUGUGUUUGUUGGUGGAUUUAGCUAUGCUGAUGUGCUUGAUUCUGCUAAAGGUUGGUCUGCUUGCGUAAGAUUCAAUGAGCCCCUUUUAAAGCAAUUUCAGGAGUUUUACAAGCGUCCAGACACUUUCAGUCUAGGUGUAUGCAAUGGGUGUCAGCUAAUGGCCUUGUUGGGAUGGGUACCAGGCCCACAAGUUGGGGGUGUACUUGGUGCUGGUGGCGACCUAUCACAACCGAGGUUCAUCCACAAUGAGUCAGGGCGGUUUGAAUGCCGCUUUACAAGUGUGACAAUAAAGGACUCCCCAGCUAUAAUGUUCAAAGGUAUGGAGGGUAGUUCACUGGGGGUAUGGGCUGCUCAUGGUGAGGGAAGAGCUUAUUUCCCAGAUGAAGGUGUAUUUGAACAUAUAGUUCAUUCAGAUUUAGCUCCUGUAAGAUAUUGUGAUGAUGCUGGUAAUCCAACGGAGACCUACCCUUUCAAUGUGAAUGGUUCUCCUUUAGGGGUAGCAGCUAUUUGUUCCCCAGAUGGGAGGCAUCUUGCCAUGAUGCCUCAUCCAGAGCGUUGCUUCUUAAUGUGGCAGUUCCCAUGGUAUCCAAAGCAGUGGGAUGUGGACAAGAAAGGCCCUAGUCCUUGGUUGCGUAUGUUCCAAAAUGCAAGAGAUUGGUGUUCCUGAAAUGGUUACUCAAUAAUGAUAAAGCAAGAAUGAGGCCACAAGUUUAAAGGUCAUCUAUUUUCUGCAUUGGAAAUAGGACUGUUAAAAUGUCACUUUGAAUAAUCUGUUAAAAAAUAUGGUGGUCUAGUAGAUAGAAGCAAAAUUGCCUCUUCAACAUUUCAUGACAGUUUGCAAUCUGCAUGGAUGGCUAGUCUCCCACACCCCAAUUCUCAGUUGCUGGCUAACAAAGAGUUUGCAAACGAGAUACUAUCUCGAACACUGAAUAAGCGGAUAGCAGAAACACAUGAAGUGUCAUCCUUGGUCACUUUUAUUUGCUUGUCAGCUGCUUCCUAUAUCACUGGAUAAAUUGUUGCUGUUGAUGGAGGAUUCACUGUGAAUGGAUUUCAACCCAGCAUGAAAAUUACUUAAAAGAAAAUUGUCAUUUUUUGUUUUGUUUUCUGGAUUUGGUUACAGGGUCUGGCUAUCCUUUUUUCAGUUUGUCAUACACCAUUUUGUUUGUGGACUGGUGUUGUUGAACGUAUUCAUCAACUUAAAGCGAAUACUAAUGUAAAUUAUGCAAGCAUAUUUAAUUUGACAUUAUUU